rnacentral:rRNA from 1 species
CUUAGAGAGUUUGAUCCUAGCUCAGGAUGAACGCUGGCGGCGUGGAUAAGGCAUGCAAGUCGUGCGGUUCUGUUUCCGCAAGGGAACAGAAUAGCGGCGAACGAGUUAGUAACACGUAGGUACUUCCCCCGGAGACGGGCAUAAUUCCGCGAAAGCGGAACUAAUUCCCGAUAGUCCUCGUAAGAGUAAAGGAGCAAUCCGCUCCGGGAAAGGCCUGCGGCCUAUCAGCUAGUUGGUGAGGUAACGGCUCACCAAGGCUAUGACGGGUAGGGGGCGUGAGAGCGCGUUCCCCAACGAUGGGACUGAGAUACGGCCCAUACUCCUACGGGAGGCAGCAGUCGAGAAUAUUGGUCAAUGGGCGAAAGCCUGAACCAGCGACGCCGCGUGCGGGAGGACGCCCUUCGGGGUGUAAACCGCUUUUGCCGUCGAACAAGCCGCAAGGCUGAGCGUAGGCGGCGAAUAAGGGGGUGCUAACUCUGUGCCAGCAGCCGCGGUAAUACAGAGCCCCCAAGCGUUAUCCGGAUUUAUUGGGCGUAAAGGGUCCGUAGGCGGUUAGGCAAGUCUUAGGUUAAAUACCUGAAGCUCAACUUCGGGGGUGCCUGGGAUACUACUUAACUAGAAGGCGUUAGAGGCUGACGGAACGGUCGGUGGAGGGGUGAAAUCCGUUGAUAUCG